rnacentral:rRNA from 1 species
UGGUGGAGUGAUUUGUCUGGUUUAUUCCGAUAACGAACGAGACUCUGGCCUGCUAACUAGUGACUGAAUCUUCAUUGUUCACGUCGCUUCUUAGAGGGACAAACGGCGCUUAGUCGUAUGAAAAGAGCAAUAACA